rnacentral:rRNA from 1 species
UACGUAGGGUGCAAGCGUUGUCCGGAAUUAUUGGGCGUAAAGAGCUCGUAGGCGGUUUGUCGCGUCUGCCGUGAAAGUCCGGGGCUCAACUCCGGAUCUGCGGUGGGUACGGGCAGACUAGAGUGAUGUAGGGGAGACUGGAAUUCCUGGUGUAGCGGUGAAAUGCGCAGAUAUCAGGAGGAACACCGAUGGCGAAGGCAGGUCUCUGGGCCUUACCUGACGCUGAGGAGCGAAAGCGUGGGUAGCGAACAGG